UACGUAGGGGGCAAGCGUUGUCCGGAUUUAUUGGGCGUAAAGAGCGUGUAGGCGGCCUGACAGGUCUGCUGUGAAAACUCGAGGCUCAACCUCGAGACGCCGAUGGAAACCCCCUGGCUAGAGUCCGGAAGAGGAGAGUGGAAUUCCUGGUGUAGCGGUGAAAUGCGCAGAUAUCAGGAAGAACACCCGUGGCUAAGGCGGCUCUCUAGUACGGUACUGACGCUGAGACGCGAAAGCGUGGGGAGCGAACAGG
rnacentral:rRNA from 1 species